rnacentral:rRNA from 1 species
AGGACGAACGCUGGCGGCGUGCUUAACACAUGCAAGUCGAGCGGUAAGGCCCUUUCGGGGGUACACGAGCGGCGAACGGGUGAGUAACACGUGAGUAAUCUGCCCUCCACUUGGGGAUAAGCUUCGGAAACGGGGUCUAAUACCUGAUACGACAACUUCCUGCAUGGGAUGGUUGUGGAAAGUUUUUUCGGUGGGGGAUGUGCUCGCGGCCUAUCAGCUUGUUGGUGGGUAAUGGCCUACCAAGGCUUCGACGGGUAGCCGGCCUGAGAGGGUGACCGGCCACACUGGGACUGAGACACGGCCCAGACUCCUACGGGAGCAGCAGUGGGGAAUAUUGGACAAGUGGGCGGAAGCCUGAUCCAGCAACGCCGCGUGAGGGAUCGACGGCCGUUCGGUUACGUAACCGUUCUUUCGAGUACCGACGAAGCGCCGUUGUGGUGUGACGGUAGGUACGAGAAGAAGCGACCGCCAACUACGU